rnacentral:rRNA from 1 species
CCUACGGGAGGCAGCAGUGGGGAAUAUUGGGCAAUGGGCGCAAGCCUGACCCAGCAACGCCGCGUGAAGGAAGAAGGCUCUCGGGUUGUAAACUUCUUUUGACAGGGAAGAGCAGCAGACCGUACCUGUCCAAUAAGCCACGGCUCACUACGUGCCACUGGCCGCGGUAAUACGUAGGUGGCAAGCGUUGUCCGGAUUUACUGGGUGUAAAGGGCGUGUAGCCGGGCUGACAAGUCAGAUGGGAAAUCCGGGGGCUCAACCCCCGAACUGCAUUUGAAACUGUUGGUCGUGAGUAUCGGAGAGGCAGGCGGAAUUCCUAGUGUAGCGGUGAAAUGCGUAGAUAUUAGGAGGAACACCGGUGGCGAAGGCAGCCUACUGGACGACGACUGACGGUGAGGCGCGAAAGCGUGGGGAGCAAACAGGAUUAGAUACCCGGGUAGUC